rnacentral:rRNA from 1 species
UACGAAGGGGGCUAGCGUUGCUCGGAAUUACUGGGCGUAAAGGGCGCGUAGGCGGCGCAUUUAGUCAGGCGUGAAAUUCCUGGGCUCAACCUGGGGACUGCGCUUGAUACGGGUGUGCUUGAGGAUGGAAGAGGCUCGCGGAAUUCCCAGUGUAGAGGUGAAAUUCGUAGAUAUUGGGAAGAACACCGGUGGCGAAGGCGGCGAGCUGGUCCAUUACUGACGCUGAGGCGCGACAGCGUGGGGAGCAAACAGG